rnacentral:rRNA from 1 species
GAUGGGCUCGCGGCCUAUCAGCUUGUUGGUGGGGUAAUGGCCCACCAAGGCGACGACGGGUAGCCGGCCUGAGAGGGCGACCGGCCACACUGGGACUGAGACACGGCCCAGACUCCUACGGGAGGCAGCAGUGGGGAAUAUUGCACAAUGGGGGAAACCCUGAUGCAGCGACGCAGCGUGCGGGAUGACGGCCUUCGGGUUGUAAACCGCUUUCAGCAGGGAAGAAGCGAAAGUGACGGUACCUGCAGAAGAAGUACCGGCUAACUACGUGCCAGCAGCCGCGGUAAUACGUAGGGUACGAGCGUUGUCCGGAAUUAUUGGGCGUAAAGAGCUCGUAGGUGGUUGGUCACGUCUGCUGUGGAAACGCAACGCUUAACGUUGCGCGUGCAGUGGGUACGGGCUGACUAGAGUGCAGUAGGGGAGUCUGGAAUUCCUGGUGUAGCGGUGAAAUGCGCAGAUAUCAGGAGGAACACCGGUGGCGAAGGCGGGACUCUGGGCUGUAACUGACACUGAGGAGCGAAAGCAUGGGGAGCGAACAGGAUUAGAUACCCUGGUAGUCCAUGCCGUAAACGUUGGGCACUAGGUGUGGGG